GCUAGGUUGGGGCAGACCUACAAGACUGGGCAAACAAAUAGGCAGAGAGAGAGAGAGCGAGCGCGAAGGAUGAAGAUUCGGCGGUUUCUUUGUCUGCGCAGCCUCUUCUGCGAUAAUAUCUCUGGCCGCGUUCGCCGAAGGGCAAGAAGGGAGAGCGCGAGCGCCUUGGCUACCCAAAGUGGGAUUUGAGCGGGAAUUCUGAGAGUGGCGACUUCGGAACUGGGUGCUGCUGGAGACGGAGCCCUCGCUGCCACUUCCGACUUUAAGCCUUCCUAGGAAAGUCCUCGGUGGCUGUUUUUAAUUGCUCUCUGAAGACCCGGCGCCCCCUCCCCACCCCCACUGCCGUCCCACUCUCGCUCGCACUCUCUCUCUCUCUCUCCUUCGCUCACACACGUUUGGCAGGCACAGCCGGCGGCGGCAGCACCACCACCACCACCAGAAGUCGCUCACCCACGCUUUGCUCUAAACUCGGAUUUGCCCUCCGGAGUGAGCUGCAGUUCUGGGCUGUUGCUGGAGUGGGACGGGAGUUGCGGCUUAAAACCGACAACCAAAACCUGUCAGGGGCAGGCUAUAGUGCUCUUUCACCCAGGAAUAAAACUAUGUGAGCAUUGCUGCGGUGGUUGCUUAAGUCAGAGAAAACGUGAAGGGAGUACAUAACCCUGGUGGAUGCAGCAGAACCGUUCGCUGUUUAUGGAAAUGCAGGAUCUAGCCAGCCCGCAUAGCCGUCUAAGUGGUAGUAGCGAAUCCCCUAAUGGUCCAAAACUUGAUAAUUCUCACAUAAAUAAUAAUUCCAUGACACCCAAUGGCACAGAAGGUGACAUGACUCUGCUCAGCACUGCAGACUGGUUGUUAAAUACUAAUACACAGACCACUGCAGUUAAAACAGAGCCAAUGAGCAGCAGUGAAAUUGCUACUACAACAGCAGACGGGUCUUUAGACAGUUUUUCAGGAUCAGCAAUUGGAAGCAGUGGCUUCAGCCCAAGACAAACUCACCAGUUUUCCCCGCCACAGAUAUACCCUUCCAACAGACCAUACCCACAUAUUCUUCCUACUCCUUCUUCACAAACUAUGGCUGCAUAUGGGCAGACGCAGUUUACCACAGGGAUGCAACAAGCCACAGCUUAUUCAACAUACCCACAACCUGGUCAGCCCUAUGGAAUCCCGUCAUAUGCUACCUGUCGCUCCCAAAAAUGUGUCCCUCAGACUCUUCCAACCCUCAGAGAUGUAUUUUCAGGACAUUCAGGUGCAUUGUGGGCAGGCAUCAAGACAGAAGGUGGAUUGUCACAAACACAGACACCUGGACAGACAGGCUUUCUGAGCUAUGGUGCAAGCUUUAGUGCUCCCCAGCCAGGACAGGCUCCAUACAGUUACCAGAUGCAAGGGAGCAGUUUCACAACAUCAUCUGGAAUAUAUGCUGGAAAUAAUUCACUUACAAAUUCUACUGGAUUUAAUAGUUCACAGCAGGAAUAUCCAUCUUACCCCAACUUUGGCCAGGGUCAAUAUGCACAGUAUUAUAACAGUUCUCCAUAUCCUUCACAUUAUAUGACAAGCAGCAACACCAGUCCAACAACCCCUUCCUCCAAUGCAACAUACCAGCUUCAAGAACCACCAUCUGGCAUCACAAGUCAAGCUGUUACAGAUCCUACAGCAGCAGAGUAUAGUACAAUCCACAGCCCAACAACACCCAUUAAAGAUUCAGAGGCAGACAGGUUGCGUCGCAGCUCAGAUGGCAAAUCACGUGGCCGAGGCAGAAGGAAUAAUAAUCCUUCACCACCACCUGACUCUGACCUAGAGAGAGUAUUCAUUUGGGAUUUGGAUGAGACAAUCAUCAUUUUCCAUUCCUUGCUUACAGGAUCCUAUGCUAACAGAUAUGGGAGAGAUCCACCAACUUCUGUUUCUCUUGGACUGAGAAUGGAGGAGAUGAUUUUCAACUUGGCAGACACACACCUAUUCUUUAAUGAUCUCGAAGAGUGUGACCAAGUUCAUAUUGAUGAUGUUUCAUCUGAUGACAAUGGCCAAGACUUAAGCACCUAUAACUUCGGAACAGAUGGCUUUCCUGCAGCAGCUACUAGUGCUAACUUAUGCCUAGCAACGGGUGUGCGUGGAGGAGUGGACUGGAUGAGGAAACUGGCUUUCCGCUACAGACGAGUAAAAGAAAUCUACAACACCUACAAAAAUAAUGUUGGAGGUCUUCUUGGUCCAGCAAAGAGAGAAGCUUGGUUGCAGCUCAGAGCAGAAAUUGAAGCCCUUACAGAUUCUUGGUUAACACUUGCACUGAAAGCACUCACGCUAAUUCAUUCUAGGACAAAUUGUGUGAAUAUUCUAGUGACAACUACUCAGCUUAUUCCAGCUCUUGCAAAAGUCCUGCUCUAUGGCUUAGGUGUGGUAUUUCCAAUAGAAAAUAUUUACAGUGCAACUAAAAUAGGAAAAGAAAGCUGUUUUGAGCGCAUCAUUCAAAGAUUUGGAAGAAAAGUAGUAUAUGUUGUUAUAGGAGAUGGUGUGGAAGAAGAACAAGGAGCAAAGAAGGUGUCCUGCAAACAUGCUUAUGAUCUAAGUUCAGAUUUUCUCUUUAUUUAACAAGCGGAAUGAAACUUAAACAUUCAUCUUUAAAAUAUUCCAUAUGGGGAAAUUGAUAUAAGCAUGCCAUGCCAUUCUGGAGGAUCACAAGCCACUCUGACCUUAUGGCUCUUCAUCAUGCCUUGGAACUAGAGUACUUGUAGUAGCACUUUGUAACCCCAGAACUUUCCUCAUACCCAUGGACAGUGUGCCUGUGUCUUGUGUCAGCGCUGAGCUGCAGAACUUUGUGAUUUCAUCAUGUUGACGUACAGCUGCAACUGGUCUUAACCUUUGCCCUUCCAGUAAAUGGAGGAGCAUGUCUCUUUCUUCAGAAACAGCUGUUGAUUCUAGUACUGUGAAUCCAAUGAAAACAAGCCAUGAUGAGAAUGUUUUAACAAUGUGUCCUUGCCACAUUUGCUACAUUGAAAGGUUCGUACCUGUGAAGAGACUGGAAAGUACUUUAUGUUUCUGGAAUCUUCAGUGUGGCACACACACCUUAAGUAUGGCAAACUUGAUUGCACAACAAAGACUAAACUUUUUUUAAAAAAAGAAUCCCAUGGAUACACUUCUUGAAAAGGUUUACUAUUGUUUUUUGUUUUGUUUUUUUAGUUUCUCAUACCCAGGGUACCCUGUAAAUCUUUACUUAUUUAUGAACAGAUUCUGUUUUGUCAUCAUCACCUAAAUGUGGAUAUGUAUGAUAAAUGAAAGGCUAUAACAAGUCUUUGCCUUCUGAUAAUAAAAUGAUUUUGAUUUUAGCACAUUGCAAUGUAGUUUAAAGUAUGUCUAAUUUAAGGAAAUAGGUACAUCACUGAGACAAUCGUGUACAGGAAGAAUGUUUUUGUGUAAAUUUGUAAUGAAUGGAUGAUGUUUUACAUAUUGUUUAGGCAAAUACUAUUAAAAGGUAGUAAUGGCUUUUGGGUGAAGUAUGAGGCAGUGUGUGCACAACUAUUGUGCUGUGCCUUAUGAAAGUAUUCUGUAUAAAUAUGUAGAUAAUGGAAUUUUUUUUUAGAUCAAUUUGUCAAGACCAAAAGCAUGGAUGUCAAGUGUCAAUAAGAAAUUGCUUUUUAUUAUAUUUGCUCUUUUCCCUCAAGUUUUCUUUGGCAAAUCUAUUCUAUCAAAAUACCAGUUAUACUUUUUCUCCUUGCACCCUUUUCCAAAUGGGCUGGCUUCUCAUAUACAUUUUGUACUUGAGUACAAAUGUCCAAGUUCAAGAUUGACAUAUCUCAUGUCAAUUGAGAAUGGGAUGCCUAUAUAAAUUGCCAUUUUUCUUGGUGAAAUACAUGGAAAGAGAAAGUUGGUGUUUUGCUGCUUCUAUGUACUUUGCCAAGAAAAGCAGCAAUUUAAAUAUAGAUGUGCAUUCUCAAGUGAUGUGAAAUAUGUGUAUUUUGUAUGUGGAUAUAUAUACUUGAGUAUAGAUGGUAUAGUAAGAAUUGGCCCUUAGGAUGCACACUUGCAAAUUAAGAACAGUGUUCUGUUCUCUUAUUUCAUUUUCUUUACUGAUAGAUAUCAAACACAAGGAGAAGUGAAUAAUUAAUCUAUUCAUUUCCCCCAAAAAAGGUAGAAGGUUGGUAAAAUAUUUUAUGUAAUGUAUCUUGCCUUUUAGAAUAAUAAAAUAAAGCAUCCAUGCACUUGCAAAAUAAAAAUGAAAUCAACCACCUUAUCUUAAAGUAGAAAAGAAGGGCUUUUCUGAGAUCCAGUUAGCAAGGAACUGACUGAAAUUAUUCUUGCUUGAUGGGUUCCUCACCUCCAGAAAAAAAUUACUAUAUUUACCUGAAUCAAAGACUAGAUUUUUUCCUAUUUGGUGUUAGCAAUCAGAGAGUCAUCUUAAAUUCAGAGUCCUCUUCCUUUUGAGGUAUAGUUAUAACCUUUGAGGUAUAAAUAUAGGUAUAACCUGUGUUUUGCCCCUAUUUUUUAGGGGGCUUGUCUUAAAUUUGGAGUUGUGUUCAGGUAAAUAUGGUACUUUGUGUUUUUCUCUAACUCCACAAAUUGUUAGUGUUUUAAAGCUUUUAUUUCUUGCUAAAAUCAUAAAACCCUUAAAAUCUCACCUUGAAGUCUGCUGAAAUAGGGCAAAGUAGAUUGGGAAUUGUAGUUUUGUUGAGAGCAGGUCUGAAGAAAACCAGAUGUAACCCUGAGAUAACCCAGAAAGGGCUGAACAUGAUGGUAUGUGUAGUUUUGUGUUAAUUGCUGAAGCAGACCAUAGUCCACAAUUCUCUCCUACCUAUACUAUAAGAGCACAAUGAAAACUUUCAUUUUUAGUAAAUACUGAAAUCAGUACAGCUCAAAACAGAAAAGCCAUGUCACACCAGUUAAUUCAGACCUUCAGAUUUUGGGAUUAUAUGUGUGCAUUUUGAUUUGACAUUCUCCCCCCCCCCCCCCUUUUAGACCCACAAUCUGGUAUGAAAUUAGUAGUGGCAAAUAUCUGGUGCAUUGUUAAUGUUAACCAUCUUAAAACAGUUAUCAGAUUUUUCUGUUGGUCCAUUCCCGGCAAUGGGAAUACUUGCCAAUUUUGUUUAGACUGCAUUAAUGUUUGUAACUAGGCCUAUACAGCAUUUGAACUGUGCCUGUCUUCUGUAAAACAUGAAGACCAUGCACAGCCGAGGCAGUUUUACUUUGGGCUAAAGUAGAUGAAUUGAGGGCAGUGGGAGGGGGGUCCCCAAUUAUUCUUGAAAGUGCACAUUCUCACCUCAUCCCACCCCUUCCCAGAGCAAAUUCCCCCCUCCUGCCUUGAUUAAUGUGGCUAGAGCUAACCAGGUACCCCACAUUCAGAAUACUUAGUUGUGGCUAAGAUGGGAGGUGGUGAUUUGCACAAGGGAGUGGGAUAAACCUGAUUGUGAUCUUACCAUCAUGGUUAGAGAGGCCCUUUGUUACAACUACACUGGGUCUUUGUGUUUAAAUUCUUAGCCUGAACCUUGCUACUUUGUUUUCAUUGGUAUCUUCAUUAGGAAUAAACCUCAGUUGUUCUAGUUCUUGUUUCAUAUUUUUGUGUUUUUUUUUAAUUCACCAGCUUUUAAGCCGCCUACUAGCAAAGCAACAACAGUAGCUGUGAGGCAACAUCCUCUUUUUGUGGAGGAUGUAUAUUGCUGCUACAGUUUAUAAUUAUUUUAUGGAUUGUUUCAAAUUGUUUGAUUAUAAAUAUGGCCCCCAUCUUCAAUAACUUUAUGUACCAAAAGCAAUCCAAUUCAGGGACUACUCACAGUCUGUAAAGUUAAACACAUACAUAAGUCCUUUAAUGACGGGCUAUAAAACAUCUGUUUUCCUUGGGUUUUUUUGUUGUUUUUGCUUCAAGCAAAAUAGAGAUGGACAAUUUUUUCCCAUUUUGUUUCAAAUUUUUGUAGUCAAUAUGCUGACUAAAAAAAGUUUGUCUGGGCCUUAUUGUACAAAAAGUGUGUUGUGUCCACAAUUGUGUACAGAUAUUUUCCUCCAUUUUGUGUUUAAAUUAAUAAAAUUGAUUUGUGACAUAAGGA